rnacentral:rRNA from 1 species
AGUAAUGUCUGGGAAACUGCCUGAUGGAGGGGGAUAACUACUGGAAACGGUAGCUAAUACCGCAUAACGUCGCAAGACCAAAGAGGGGGACCUUCGGGCCUCUUGCCAUCAGAUGUGCCCAGAUGGGAUUAGCUAGUAGGUGGGGUAACGGCUCACCUAGGCGACGAUCCCUAGCUGGUCUGAGAGGAUGACCAGCCACACUGGAACUGAGACACGGUCCAGACUCCUACGGGAGGCAGCAGUGGGGAAUAUUGCACAAUGGGCGCAAGCCUGAUGCAGCCAUGCCGCGUGUAUGAAGAAGGCCUUCGGGUUGUAAAGUACUUUCAGCGGGGAGGAAGGUGUUGUGGUUAAUAACCACAGCAAUUGACGUUACCCGCAGAAGAAGCACCGGCUAACUCCGUGCCAGCAGCCGCGGUAAUACGGAAGGUGCAAGCGUUAAUCGGAAUUACUGGGCGUAAAGCGCACGCAGGCGGUCUGUCAAGUCGAAUGUGAAAUUCCCGGGCUCAACCUGGGGAGCUGCAAUCGAAACUGGCAGGCUUGAGUCUUGUAGAGGGGGGUAGAAUUCCAGGUGUAGCGGUCAAUG